GACGAACGCUGGCGGCGUGCUUAACACAUGCAAGUCGAACGGAAAGGCCCUGCUUUUGUGGGGUGCUCGAGUGGCGAACGGGUGAGUAACACGUGAGUAACCUGCCCUUGACUUUGGGAUAACUUCAGGAAACUGGGGCUAAUACCGGAUAUGAGCUCCUGCUGCAUGGUGGUGGUUGGAAAGUUUCGGCGGUUGGGGAUGGACUCGCGGCUUAUCAGCUUGUUGGUGGGGUAGUGGCUUACCAAGGCUUUGACGGGUAGCCGGCCUGAGAGGGUGACCGGCCACAUGGGGACUGAGAGACGGCCCAGAAUCCUACGGGAGGCAGCAGUGGGGAAUAUUGCACAAUGGGCGGAAGCCUGAUGCAGCAACGCCGGGUGCGGGAUGACGGCCUUCGGGUUGUAAACAGAUGUCGCAUGUGACGAAGAGUGAGUGACGGUAAUGGGUAAAGAAGCAACGGCUAACUACGUG
rnacentral:rRNA from 1 species